rnacentral:lncRNA from 1 species
ACACUUCUUCUCUUUUCUUCUUCAUCUUUCCCUCUUAAUCUGUUACAAACAAAUUAAAUUAGUCUUGUCGAACUAUAUAUAAACAAAUUGGAAAUGAAAAUACCUACAAUUAUUUUAUGAACUUUAAUAGUUUUAAUAUUGAAGUAGUUCAAGAAAUUUAAUUGUUGAUCAUUUGUCUAAAUUGUUAUAAUAACAAUACAAGCAGUAUUUUGUUUCUUUUAAAUCCCCUGCCUUCCUUUGUGUUCGACUAUUAUGCCAAUGACACUUUGAAAUAAGGGUCAUAUUUUGUACCUGUUAGUUUUUAAUUUCCCACCAUCCUUUGUGUACGACUAUUCUCUCCAAACCAUUAUAGUUAUUCGUAAUAAUAUGAUAAGAUUUUCAUGCUAGAUACUUUUUCUUGGAGGAAAGGAACUUUAAUGAAGUUAAUUGAUAGCAGGUUAUUACUAAAUCUUUUAAGUUUACUACUUGUCAAGAAAAGCGGAGUAUUUGUUGUUGUAGGUCAAUAUAACCUUAUGGUGUAAAAAUAUAUGCUCACACAGUUAGUUCACAUAACUUAAGUUUGAAGGGGAGCUUGGUGUAACAAGUUAAGCAGUUGUCAUUUGACCAGGAGGUCACGAGUUCGAGAAACAUCCUCUAAUGCUGCGUACAAUAGACCCAUAUGGUCCAGCCCUUUUCCAGAUCCCCAUAGCGGGAGAUUAGCAUACGAGGUUGUCUUUUUACUAACUUUUUUAUAAUGUAAGCUCGAAAGAAAAUAAAGUAAACUGAAACACGGAUCUGUGCUUUUUAAAUUAGUACAAAAGCAUGCCAAGUCUCAACUAACAAAUUCUUUUCUAAUCUUACAUGGUAUUAAAUGAAAAUGAAAAAGAUAUUUUUUUAUAACUCAUUUCAUGAACUGAUGCUCCUGAAAUAAAUAAUAAGAAGAUAUCAUCAUAAAAUACACUCGGCAUAACACAUAAAUAUGACCCUAAACUUGACACCAAAUUAUAACAUUGACCUUACACUUUGAUAGUGCACAAAUAGGACCUUUAACUAUUCAAAACCUGAACAAAUAAACACCCCGAUCCUAUGUGGCAAAACGCGUGUUGCACACGCAAAACGGCCCGCGUUCGAGUUGGAAUUGAAGGGUUUUUUUGUUUAGUUUUUGUAUAGUUAAGGCCUAGUUGUGCACCGACAAAGUUAAAGGUCAUACUUAUAAUGUGUUUUUUUAUUAGGUGGCACCAUAUGAGUGGAUUAGUAAUCCACGUCAGAGCAAGUGAGGUACACGCGUGUAGUUGCAAAAUCGGAGUAUCUUUUUGUGCAGGUUUUGUAUAGUUGGCCUACUUAUGCACUAUCAAAGUUUAAGUGUACUAUCAAAGUUUAAGGUCAAUGUUAUAAUUCAUAUUUAUGUAUUAUGCCAAUACACUCGGUAUGUUGUUUACGCCGGCCUUCCCAGACCACUCGUAGGAUUACACUGGGCAUAUUGUUGUAGUACGUACACUCGGUUUGGCGAAACAAUUCGAUGUCAAAGAAAAUGUUGACGUUCUAAGUUUCUAGAACACCAUUUCUAGUUGGCAACAAAUAAUCGAAGCCAUCAACUUUCAGUAUAAAUGCUUAUAAACCAUGCACCCGUCAUAGUAAUAAAAAGGGUUAUUUUAAGUUAUAAGUUAUCAAGGUUCUUGAGAUCAACUAGUGAUCCAAAAAGAAAAUCAUUCAUCUAUUCGCAAAUAAAUUGAACAUUUUCACCAUGCAUAUGAUCAGUAGCGGAAGCAGGGAUCCUAAUAAGGGGAUUCAAAAAGGUACAAAAGUGUUACACUUACGUUUCAAUUUGAGCAUGUCACACAGCGCAUAUGGCAAUAGUUGGUAUAGAAUUUGGAAAAUGCCGUAGUAACGCACCUUAGCAAUUACCGGUAAUAAACUCUAUCAAUAUCAGUCUUGUUCUUUUACCAACCAGCUUGAGUCUGCGAUAUAGAAUAUAUAUAUAUAUAUCCUGACAAUGCUACAGAUCAUCAAACAAGUAAAACAGGGGAAGAGAUAUUAGUUAAUUUGGCUAAAUAAGUCAAAGUUGUUGUAAUUAUUUGUAAAUAUAGAACACCACAUAAUUAAAUAUAACAGAAUACGUAUACUAGUUUUUUUCUUGAAAUUAUCAAUCUUUUAAGUUUUGUAGGUGAUAUAGAGAUAUGCUUAUUGAAAACAAAAUGGCAAGAAAGUGGAAGUAAUAAAAAAUAGCACUUUCUUUCCUUUAACCAUUACAUGGCAUGUCUUUUUGUGUGCACAUUCAUAUUUUGUGCACUCCAUAGCAGGUAACAAACUACUUGCUAAAAAGAUAAAGUGGAAAUAUUCAAAGUGAUAUAGAGAUGGACUUUAAUUAACAAUAUGAGAACUCGUAGAUCCAGCUGUUAAGAGCUAUGAAUAUUCUUUCUACACUUAGAUUAUCAAUCAGAGCAAUUGAAUUGGUCAUUUAGACAGCUCUUUACUAACAACUAGUUUUCAAGGUGUGUUACUAUAAAUACAUAGGCCAAUGAAUCCUCUAAAGGCAUCACUUCUCAACUGAAAAACUAAACUUGUCUUCUUUCUUCUUUCUCUAACUAGCCCCAUUUGGAGACUAGGUGGUGUAGUUUUACUGAGAAAUGAGGCUUCGCGGUGGCGGCCCUGCCAAGGGUCGUCAAUAUUUACCUCAAAUCUUAGUGGCACUGGCCAUAUUGGCUGUUGCUAAUGUAGUGUCAGCAGACCCUUAUGUGUACUCUUCUCCACCACCUCCAACGUAUGAGUACAAGUCACCUCCACCUCCUUCUCCUUCUCCACCGCCACCUAAUGUGUACAAAUCUCCACCUCCUCCAUCACCUUCUCCCCCGCCUCCAUAUGUUUAUAAGUCACCACCUCCUCCUUCUCCAUCACCACCUGCACCAUAUGUGUAUAAGUCUCCACCACCUCCAUCGCCAUCCCCUCCACCACCAUAUGUGUAUAAGUCUCCACCACCUCCAUCGCCAUCUCCACCACCACCUUAUGUGUAUAAGUUUCCCCCACCUCCAUCACCAUCUCCACCUCCACCAUAUUACUACAAGUCUCCACCUCCACCUUCACCAUCACCUCCACCACCAUACUAUCACAAAUCUCCACCACCGCCUUCACCAUCACCACCCCCGCCAUACUAUUAUAAGUCUCCACCGCCACCUUCUCCUUCACCUCCUCCGCCAUACUACUACAAAUCACCACCACCUCCUUCGCCAUCUCCUCCUCCACCUUAUUACUACAAGUCUCCACCUCCUCCAUCUCCAUCACCACCACCACCAUAUUAUUACAAGUCUCCACCUCCACCAUCCCCAUCACCACCCCCUCCUUACUACUAUAAGUCUCCACCACCACCGCUUAAGUCACCUCCUCCCCCAUACUAUUACAGCUCUCCACCACCACCAGUGAAGUCUCCCCCUCCACCAUAUUACUACUCCUCACCACCACCACCAAAGAGAUCACCUCCCACACCAUAUCAUUAUACUUCACCACCUCCUCCAUACUAUUAUAGCUCACCACCACUACCCAAGGAAUCUCCUCCUCCACCAUAUCACUACAGUUCCCCACCACCACCAAAGAAGUUACCUCCAACUCCAUACUACUACAAGUCUCCACCACCACCACCAAAGAAGUCUUCUCCCCCACCAUACUACUAUACUUCACCACCACCACCAACUCAUUACUAUCCUCCACAUCAUCAAUUUGUUGUCAAAGUUGUCGGCAAAGUCCAUUGUUUUAGAUGUUACAACAGGAAGCACCCAGAAAUGUCUCACGGCAAAAAGCACCUUAAAGGUACCAUAGUCUUGAAUAAUUACACUAAUCUCCAAUUUGUUAUGUUCUUUUAAUUUUAUCAUCAAAAUUUUAUUAGCUAUAUAUUUACUUUUUGUUGCUUUCUUCAUUGCGCUCUUAACGAAAUUCAUAAAUGUGUCCAUUUUUAUUUGGAUAGUUGAUUCAUUUCUAUUUUCAAAUGUGAAAGUAUUGAAAUUCUAAAGCAUCAAGAAAUUUUACACAGAAACGACUUUAACUAUAAUUGUUACUAUAGAGUAAAAUAUAUUGCGAAAUGGAAGUAGUUCUUGCUUGAAAAUGAAGAACUAAUUUUAAGUGUGAUUUAUUCUCACAUUGGCUGACAAAAGUCCGUAUUAACAUGCAAUUAAUUUCCAUUACCAGAAUGUAAAAUAGUUAGUAAAGUUACAAUAAAGAAAUUUUUAUCAUGUCAUGAAAAUGUAUGUUUUACUUUUGUUUUAGGGGGGGGUAAGGCUUGGAUCGAAACCAUUUAUUAACAACUCAACUCCUUCAGUGUUAAUUAAUGGAUUUUAUUUACAUGGACUAGGUGUUGUUGUUGAAGUGACUUGCAAGGCUGGUGACAAGAAAAUUGUGAGUUAUGGUACCACUAAGCUCAAUGGAAAAUUUAGCAUCACAGUUGAAGGAUUUGAAUAUCGCAAAUAUGGAGCAAAGGCUUGCAAGGCUAAACUCCACAAUGCACCAAAGGACUCAAAGUGUAGCAUUCCUACAAACCUUCAUUGGGGAAUUAAGGGUGCUGACCUCAAAGUGAAAUCAAAGAAUAGUUAUGAAGUUGUACUUUAUGCAAAACCAUUUGCUUAUGGAUCUAAGACACCUUAUGCAGACUGCCAAAAGCCCAAGCCUACACCUGCUCCAUACUAUUAUAAAUCUCCUCCACCUCCAUCACCGACUUAUGUGUACAAGUCACCACCUCCUCCAUCACAAAAGUAUGUGUACAAGUCACCACCUCCCCCAACCCCGACAUACAUUUAUAAGUCUCCACCACCACCUGCUUACUAUUACAAAUCACCACCACCACCAACUAAGUCUCCACCACCUCAGUAUUAUUACAAGUCUCCACCUCCACCAUCACCAAAACUUGCACCAGUAUACUAUUAUAAAUCACCACCACCCCCAUCACCGUCACCACCCCCGCCUUACUACUACAAGUCUCCGCCACCACCAUCACCAUCACCAAAACCUGCACCACCAGUAUACUAUUAUAAAUCACCACCACCCCCAUCACCAUCACCACCCCCACCUUACUACUAUAAGUCCCCGCCACCACCAUCACCAAAACUUGCACCUAUUUACUAUUAUAAAUCACCACCACCCCCAUCACCGUCACCACCCCCACCUUACUAUUACAAGUCCCCACCACCACCAUCACCUUCUCCCCCACCUCCCUACUACUAUAAGUCUCCUCCACCACCAUCGCCAUCUCCUCCUCCACCAUACUAUUAUAAGUCCCCUCCUCCACCAUCUCCAUCACCACCACCACCCUAUUACUAUAAAUCUCCUCCACCACCAUCACCAUCUCCUCCACCUCCAUACUACUACAGGUCCCCUCCUCCUCUAUCUCCAUCUCCCCCUCCACCAUACUAUUACAAGUCACCACCAUCGCCAUCGCCAUCACCUCCACCACCCUACUACUACAAGUCUCCUCCUCCUCCAUCGCCUUCUCCCCCUCCACCAUACUAUUACAAAUCACCACCACCUUCAUCGCCAUCUCCUCCACCACCCUACUACUAUAAGUCCCCUCCUCCACCAUCCCCAUCACCACCUCCACCCUACUACUACAAGUCGCCUCCUCCACCGUCGCCUUCUCCACCACCUCCCUACUACUACCACUCUCCACCUCCACCAGUGAAAUCACCUCCUCCACCCGUAUAUAUUUACGCUUCCCCACCACCUCCAGUCCACUACUAAGAGUUUCCAGCAGUUCAACCAUUCUCCACACUCAAUCAAGUGAGUAGUUGUUUAAUUGUAAUUUUUUUCGUAUGAGAUCAAAUUUCUGUCAUUACUGCUCUAAUCUUCUAUUUGAUUGUUUCUUUUCAGAUUUUAUUUGAAAACACAAAAUAAAUGAUGGCUUCAUGAGGAAAAGAUCCAAACGUCAAUGGAACAAAGCAAUUACUUUACAGAAUAAGAUAUUCAAUUUUUCAAUUGGAUUGAUUCUUCAUUACAUGGAUCAGUUUGUUUCUACUUCUCUUUUGGCCUUCUUGCACAUUGUUCUCUUAGUGCGUUCAUAUGAAUGUAUUUAAGCUUUGAUGGUUCUUAGAGUUGGCUUCUUCGUAAUUUAUUGUUGUAUUGAGGAUAUUGUCCUCAUUUUAUUCAUUCCUACUAAUUAUUGUGUGUUGUUCUUGUAAUACCUUCGUGUACACUGUGCACAUGAUCAGUAAGAAGAUCAAUUUCAACGAAACAAAUUAGAUUGUUGAUAUUUGUCUAAAUACUGUUAUAAUAAUGAUACAUGUAGUAUUUUGUUGCCUUUUAAAUCCCCGCCUUACUUUGUCUAUGACUGCUAUGUCAACGAUCCUUUGAAAUAAGAGCCAAAGUUUUUAUCAGUUAGUUUUUAAUUCUCCGGCCUCCUAUGUGUAUGAUUGUUCUUUCCAAAACAUUAUAGCUAUGAAUUUUACCAUUGCUAUGAACAGAUGAAAAAUGAAAUACCAUUACUUCAUUUCUACAGGAAAAAGGGAAAGUUUUCAAGAAGAGUUGGCUCAUAUAGCUGCACACUCAACCACAUAAACUUAAAAUAGCCGGCAGGUGUAUAAUAUACGUAAUAUUCAUGUAAAAUUAGAGUAUAAUCUAUGCAUCUGCGGAAAAAAGUAGGAAGCGAAUCUGAUCAGCUAUUUGUGCAAAGAUCCCAAUUUUCUAAGCAAAAAGAUUAUUUGACAUUAUUAUGAUACCACUAUAGAAGUAAAUGCUAUGGAGGCAGACGGUGCACUAAGCCCCCCCACUAUCUGCGGGGUAUGGGGAAGAACCGGACACAAAGGUCUAUUGCAUGCAGUCUUAACUUUCAUUUUUGCAAGGGGCUGUUUACACAGUCAAACCUGUGAGCUGCUGGUCAUAUGGAAGCAACUUAACCGGCUAUGCCAAGACUCGCACCAAUGUAAAAGUAAAUGAUACAGAAAAACAGGUCAGCCCAGUGCACUAUGCUCUCAUUUUGUGUGGGGUUCGAGCAAGGACAGUACCACAAGGGUAUAUUAUCAUAGGUGGAGCCAGGAUUUCAACUAAGGAGGUUCAAUAUUUGAAGAAAACCUAAUCGAAGGAGAUUCAAUAGUAUAUACAUACAUAAAAAUAAUUUUAAUCAUGUAUAAAUAGAAUAUUUUUCCAUCGAUAUAUUAUUAUCUAGCCUUAUCCUACAUUUCUGCAAGAGACUAUUUCCACAGACCAAACCCUUGACCUCCUAGUCACAUUGCAACAACUUUACUAAUCACGCCAAGGCUCCCCUUCAAGUAAAUGCUUCAGUAAAAGGACAGCCCAGUGCACUAAGUUCCCGCUACAUGCAACAUAAUAGGGUCAGGGAAAGAACCGGGGCACAAGGGUCUACUGCAUGCAACCUUAUCCUCCAUUUCUACAAGACUAUUUUCACAGCUCGAACCCAUAACCUCCCGAUCACACUGGUAAUAACUUUACCAGUUACCUCAAAACUCUCAUUCAAGCAAAUGCUACAGUCUUUCCAUAAAAAGAACAUAGAAAGACAGCUAAAUUAACAAUUUUUAAUAGAGAACUUAGCACCUUUUACCUCUUAUUAUAUCUACAGCUGGGGUGUGUAACUGGUGCAAUCUUUGCUCCUCUUGUUUGCCUUCAUCUCUAAGACUUCCAGUUUCAUUUUAAAAAUCAAUUCUUUUUAUAAUCGUGAUGUCCGGGACAGCUACCUUUAUUACAUAUUAUUGUUCUUACGUACCAACAGCUUGCGCGCACCUCGAAUAUUUGCCAAAAAUAGGUAUUCUUUUCAACUCUUCUUUCUGAAAAUUGGCAUGAUUUGCGAAAUUGAAAUUUGCAGGUUCAGUUGAUUAAUUUGAAAACAUGAGCUUUAAAUUUCCAUUUGAAUAAAUAGGAAACUAAUUGAACAGGAAAGCGGGAAGAAGGGAGACGGUUAAAUUGGGGAAAAAUUAAAAAACAUGAUUAAGUAUGCUGAAAAAUUAAAAACAAAAAAGAAUGGCAACAUUAUAAAAAGAGAAAAUAGUGCGAUAAUUGAACCGUAAGGAAUAGUAAAUAACAACACAAAUACAAAAUAAAGGAUAAGUGCACUAUGAUUAAU